rnacentral:lncRNA from 1 species
ACAUGCCCUGGUAGUCUGUGUGUUGUUGAGAGAGAAAAAUAAUAGAAUAGUAUAAUACUUACUAUAGGUUGUUAUCAAUAAGACAUCACGAAACGGUGCAGACCAUUCGAUUUGACUGUUACGGGCAAGGAGACCCCCAGCUCCGCUCAAACCAUUGACAAGUGCAUGCCAUUUUCAAGGGGUGGUUAAGUAAAUGUUAUAACUAUUUGUCUUUAAUAGCGCUGUCAGAACUACACAUUUCCGAUUAUUCCACAUCUAGCUCUAUCAUCAGAGUUAUACAGCUUGUAACUGAAUGCUUUUCAUGAUCGGUAAACAUCAAUUGAUGAUGUCAUUUGAGGGUAACCUAUCCAUUUGACAUGUAGCUAGCUAGCUAAGGAAAUAGUGUCAUUUAGCUUGCUUCAUCAGAGAUUAGGCUUUUGGAAAGAGUUUGACAUCGGCAAAACCUCGUCCUGGUAAAGUUGUCAGUCAGACUACUGUCAUCACCACUAUAGAUGGCAAGCAAAUCAAACAAUACCUGGAUAAAGCCAUCUAGUUUAUCCCCUGAAAGUUAGCUUGUUAGCUAGCCAUAUUGACGUGAUCUGUUAUUAGCUAGCUAGCCAAUUUGACAUGAUCCAUCAAUCAAUGUAGCCUAUCAUGUCUGUCAGCCACAAUCAUGUUUGAACACUUAAAAACAAUGUUCCAUCAAUUCAUCACAUGUUUAUUUGUCACAUGUGCCGAAUACAGCAGGUGUAGACCUUACCGUGAAAUGGUAACUUACAAGCCCUUAACCAACAAUGCAGUUUCAAGAAAAAUAAGAGUUAAGAAAAUAUUUACUAAAUAAACUAAAGAGUCAAUGUGCGGGGGUACAGGUUAGUUGAGGUAAUUGAGGUAAUAUGUACACUACCAUUCAAAAGUUUGGGGUCACUUAGAAAUGUCCUUGUUUUCCAUGAAAACAUACAUGAAAUGAGUUGCAAAAUGAAUAGGAAAUAUAGUCAAGACGUUGACAAGGUUAUAAAUAAUAAUUUUUUAUUGAAGUAAUAAUUGUGUCCUUC